GACGAACCGUGCGAACGUUGUUCGGAUUCACUGGGCAUAAAGGGCGCGUAGGCGGAUGGUCAAGUCGGGGGUGAAAUCUUUCAGCUUAACUGGAAAAGGUGCCUCCGAUACUGAUCGUCUCGAGGGAGGUAGGGGCAUGUGGAACUUCCGGUGGAGCGGUGAAAUGCGUAGAUAUCGGAAGGAACGCCGGUGGCGAAAGCGACGUGCUGGACCUCUUCUGACGCUGAGGCGCGAAAGCUAGGGGAGCAAACGGG
rnacentral:rRNA from 1 species